ACUCUGGUGCUCGGAGACGGUGCCGCACUCAGAAGGGCUCUCCCCCACCCCGGACCUCCACGGCCCCUGCCUGUAGCGCCCGGCAACCGGGGCCCCGCGGGGGGGCCUCGACCUGCCAAGGGACCAUGGAGUGUUUGCCGCGGGCCCAGCUGGCUCACACCGGGGCCGAGGACCCUUAUCUCCGCCACCGACUGGGACCCGGACCAAGCUUUGUCAAAUAGGCGGAAAAUUAAAUUUCAUGCUAUUUUGACUUCUGGAGUAGCCCUUCUCUAGUGCGCGUCUGCCCGUGUGGUUCUCCGGGUGAACGGCGCUCCGGGCCG
rnacentral:lncRNA from 1 species